UAUAGGUUUGGUCCUAGCCUUUCUAUUGGUUAUUAAUAAACUUACACAUGCAAGCAUCCCCGCUCCAGUGAGAAUGCCCUUUGAAUCUUUCAAACGAUAAAAAGGAGCAGGCAUCAAGCACACUAUAUAGUAGCUCAAAACGCCUUGCUUAACCACACCCCCACGGGACACAGCAGUGAUAAAAAUUAAGCCAUAAACGAAAGUUUGACUAAGUUAUAUUAAUACAAGGGUUGGUAAAUUUCGUGCCAGCCACCGCGGUCAUACGAUUAACCCAAACUAAUAGACGACCGGCGUAAAGCGUGUUUAAGAAAAAACCAAAAUAAAGAUAAAUAUAAGCUAAGCCGUAAAAAGCAUCAGCUCUCAUAAAAUAAUCAACGAAAGUGUCUUUAAAACAUCUGAACACACGACAGCUAAGACCCAAACUGGGAUUAGAUACCCCACUAUGCUUAGCCGUAAACAUAAAAAAUUCUAAUAAACAAAAUUAUUCGCCAGAGUACUACUAGCAAAAGCUUAAAACUCAAAGGACUUGGCGGUGCUUUAUAUCCAUCUAGAGGAGCCUGUUCUAUAAUCGAUAAACCCCGAUAAACCUCACCAACCCUUGCUAAUUCAGCCUAUAUACCGCCAUCUUCAGCAAACCCUAAAAAGGAAAUACAGUAAGCAUAAAUAUUAAACAUAAAAACGUUAGGUCAAGGUGUAGCUAAUGAGUUGGAAAGAAAUGGGCUACAUUUCCUACCACAGGAUAAUUCCACGAAAAUCUCCGUGAAACCAGAGAUUUGAAGGCGGAUUUAGUAGUAAGUUAAGAAUAGAGAGCUUAACUGAAUUAGGCCAUGAAGCACGCACACACCGCCCGUCACCCUCCUCAAAUAUUGCUAAACACAACACUAAACUUAUAACUAUAUCAAAUGUUAAGCCUAUGAGAGGAGAUAAGUCGUAACAAGGUAAGCGUACUGGAAAGUGCGCUUGGACAACC
rnacentral:ncRNA from 1 species